rnacentral:tRNA from 2 species
GGGCGCAUAGCUCAGGGGGAGAGCACUUGCUUGACAUGCAAGAGGUCCCUGGUUCAAUCCCAGGUGCGCCCACCA